GGGUAGUUUGACUGGGGCGGUCUCCUCCUAAAGAGUAACGGAGGAGCACGAAGGUUGGCUAAUCCUGGUCGGACAUCAGGAGGUUAGUGCAAUGGCAUAAGCCAGCUUGACUGCGAGCGUGACGGCGCGAGCAGGUGCGAAAGCAGGUCAUAGUGAUCCGGUGGUUCUGAAUGGAAGGGCCAUCGCUCAACGGAUAAAAGGUACUCCGGGGAUAACAGGCUGAUACCGCCCAAGAGUUCAUAUCGACGGCGGUGUUUGGCACCUCGAUGUCGGCUCAUCACAUCCUGGGGCUGAAGUAGGUCCCAAGGGUAUGGCUGUUCGCCAUUUAAAGUGGUACGCGAGCUGGGUUUAGAACGUCGUGAGACAGUUCGGUCCCUAUCUGCCGUGGGCGCUGGAGAACUGAGGGGGGCUGCUCCUAGUACGAGAGGACCGGAGUGGACGCAUCACUGGUGUUCGGGUUGU
rnacentral:rRNA from 1 species